CGGCGUGCUUAACACAUGCAAGUCGAACGAGAAUCUGUGGAAAGAGGAUUCGUCCAAUUGAAGCAGAGGACAGUGGCAAACGGGUGAGUAACACGUAAACAACCUGCCUUCAGGAUGGGGACAACAGACGGAAACGACUGCUAAUACCGAAUACGUUCCUUAGGUCGCAUGAUCUUAGGAAGAAAGGGUGGCCUCUACCUGUAAGCUAUCGCCUGAAGAGGGGUUUGCGUCUGAUUGGGUAGUUGGUGAGGUAACGGCCCACCAAGCCGACGAUCAGUAGCCGGUCUGAGAGGAUGAACGGCCACACUGGAACUGAGACACGGUCCAGACUCCUACGGGAGGCAGCAGUGGGGAAUCUUCCGCAAUGGGCGAAAGCCUGACGGAGCAACGCCGCGUGAGUGAUGACGGCCUUCGGGUUGUAAAGCUCUGUGAUCGGGGACGAACGGUCAGCAGACGAAUACUCUGCUGAAGUGACGGUACCCGAAUAGCAAGCCACGGCUAACUACGUG
rnacentral:rRNA from 1 species